rnacentral:rRNA from 1 species
AUUAACGCUGGCGGCGUGCCUAAUACCUGCAAGUCGAGCGAACGGGCGAGAAGCUUGCUUCUCUGAUGUUAGCGGCGGACGGGUGAGUAACACGCGGAUAACCUACCUAUAAGACUGGGAUAACUUCGGGAAACCGGAGCUAAUACCGGAUAAUAUUUUGAACCGCAUGGUUCAAAAGUGAAAGACGGUCUUGCUGUCACUUAUAGAUGGAUCCGCGCUGCAUUAGCUAGUUGGUAAGGUAACGGCUUACCAAGGCAACGAUGCAUAGCCGACCUGAGAGGGUGAUCGGCCACACUGGAACUGAGACACGGUCCAGACUCCUACGGGAGGCAGCAGUAGGGAAUCUUCCGCAAUGGGCGAAAGCCUGACGGAGCAACGCCGCGUGAGUGAUGAAGGUCUUCGGAUCGUAAAACUCUGUUAUUAGGGAAGAACAUAUGUGUAAGUAACUGUGCACAUCUUGACGGUACCUAAUCAGAAAGCCACGGCUAACUACGUG